UACGUAGGGGGCAAGCGUUGUCCGGAAUCAUUGGGCGUAAAGCGCGUGUAGGCGGUCCGGUAAGUCCGCUGUGAAAGUCGGGGGCUCAACCCUCGGAUGCCGGUGGAUACUGUCGGGCUUGAGUACGGAAGAGGCGAGUGGAAUUCCUGGUGUAGCGGUGAAAUGCGCAGAUAUCAGGAGGAACACCGGUGGCGAAGGCGGUUCUCUGGGCCUGUGCUGACGCUGAGGAGCGAAAGCGUGGGGAGCAAACAGG
rnacentral:rRNA from 1 species